rnacentral:rRNA from 1 species
UGAGGGGGGCUGCUCCUAGUACGAGAGGACCGGAGUGGACGCAUCACUGGUGUUCGGGUUGUCAUGCCAAUGGCACUGCCCGGUAGCUAAAUGCGGAAGAGAUAAGUGCUGAAAGCAUCUAAGCACGAAACUUGCCCCGAGAUGAGUUCUCCCUGACUCCUUGAGAGUCCUGAAGGAACGUUGAAGACGACGACGUUGAUAGGCCGGGUGUGUAAGCGCAGCAAUGCGUUGAGCUAACCGGUACUAAUGAACCGUGAGGCUUAACCUUACAACGCCGAAG